AUGCACGCUGGCGGCGUGCCUAAUCCCUGCAAGUCGAGCGAACAGACGAGGAGCUUGCUCCUCUGACGUUAGCGGCGGACGGGUGAGUAACACGUGGAUAACCUACCUAUAAGACUGGGAUAACUUCGGGAAACCGGAGCUAAUACCGGAUAAUAUAUUGAACCGCAUGGUUCAAUAGUGAAAGACGGUUUUGCUGUCACUUAUAGAUGGAUCCGCGCCGCAUUAGCUAGUUGGUAAGGUAACGGCUUACCAAGGCAACGAUGCGUAGCCGACCUGAGAGGGUGAUCGGCCACACUGGAACUGAGACACGAUCCAGACUCCUACGGGAGGCAGCAGUAGGGAAUCUUCCGCAAUGGGCGAAAGCCUGACGGAGCAACGCCGCGUGAGUGAUGAAGGUCUUCGGAUCGUAAAACUCUGUUAUUAGGGAAGAACAAAUGUGUAAGUAACUAUGCACGUCUUGACGGUACCUAAUCAGAAAGCCACGGCUAACUACGUG
rnacentral:rRNA from 1 species